rnacentral:rRNA from 1 species
GACGAACGCUGGCGGCGUGCUUAACACAUGCAAGUCGAACGGAAAGGCCCUGCUUUUGUGGGGUGCUCGAGUGGCGAACGGGUGAGUAACACGUGAGUAACCUGCCCUUGACUUUGGGAUAACUUCAGGAAACUGGGGCUAAUACCGGAUAGGAGCUCCUGCUGCAUGGUGGGGGUUGGAAAGUUUCGGCGGUUGGGGAUGGACUCGCGGCUUAUCAGCUUGUUGGUGGGGUAGUGGCUUACCAAGGCUUUGACGGGUAGCCGGCCUGGGAGGGUGACCGGCCACAUUGGGACUGAGAUACGGCCCAGAGUCAUACGGGAGGCAGCAGUGGGGAAUAUUGCACAAUGGGCGGAAGCCUGAUGCAGCAACGCCGCGUGCGGGAUGACGGCCUUCGGGUUGGAAACCGCUUUCGCCUGUGACGAAGCGUGAGUGACGGUAAUGGGUAAAGAAGCACCGGCUAACUACGU